AUUUUUCUUUAUUACACAAACAAAUAUCCACCUGGUGGAUAUUUGUUUGUGUAAUAAAGAAAAAUCCUCAAGACUAUUAGAACACCUAUCAAACACCGGCCUAAAGCAAUGUAUCCAUUUCAGAUAUUGCAGAUAGAUUCCAUACAGUUAACUAAAUGUUGUACCUAUGAAUACGUAUUUGUUUGUGUUGACUAAUUCUCUGGUUGGCCAGAAGCCUGGCCCAUUGUAAAAGCUUCAGACAAAGCUAUAGCUAAAGAGCUAAUUGCAGAGAUUGUCUGCAGUUAUACACUGCUUGAGGUAUUAUCCUCUGAUCAAAGUACACAUUUCACUGGACAGGUAAUGCAAUUAAUCUGCAAAGACAUUGGGAUUCAUCAAAUGUUACACACCAUAUCAUCCCCAAGCUAGUGGGAAAGUGGAAAGUCAGCAGGCUAAUUAAAGUAUGUGCAGAGACUAAACUUGCGUGGCCAGAUGCCCUUGAUAUAGUGCUUAUAUCUGUCACGCACACUCCCCAAAGGCUAACUAAACUCUCCCCAUAUGAAAUAUUGUUUGGGAGACAAGCACGCAUGGCUCAGUACUUUCCUUCUACUCAUCUUCUUUGCAUGAACUAUGGAAGAAUGAUUGAAUAUGUCACUAAGUUACCUAAGGAACUGACCAAAUUGUGCUCUUGAGUUUUAUUCUUCAUUACCAGAUCCAGCGGAUGUUCUGGAACCACAUGUUCUCAUUCCAGAAGAUUGGGUCCUCAUAAAGAGACGCAGUGCCAAAGAUAUUCAACCUCGCUGCAAAAGACCAUUCCAGGUACUCCUCGUCACAGAAACAGCUGUAAAGGUUGAAGGGAAACCGAAUCGGAUCCACGCGUCUCACAGUAAGAAUCCUUAAACUUCCACCUGUUGUGUAAGUGGGGGGAAUUGUAGGACAUAAUAACGCCUCUUUCCUUCCACCACCUAAGUCCCAGGGACCAUAACAUCCAACGCUAAAGAUGUAGGUCCCCAUCGGGUGAAGAUCUCCAGCAGAAUCAUGUCUUUGUGGGCCAGAUGUUUGGUCCGAAUCUGUGUCUCCCUGCUGUACAUACGUAUCUUCAUUGCUGUGCUGAUUAUAGCACUUAUAAAGCCUGAUGUUAAUGACAGGUCCCAAGUCAACACAACAACAGCCUCACUAGCAUCUGAGGUUAAUGUUUCAUCACCAGAUCAGGUUAAAUUUGUUCAUAGAGACUUAUAUGCAUAACUGUUUGAGCCUAAUGAUAAUGCUCUUGUUAAAAUGCUUGUUAUAGCAGCAUCAACACUAUUACUGAUUGUUGGAUAUGUACACAUUCUCCUUUGUCAGCUCACAGUAUGACAUACAUAGUAGAAUCUCUAUCCUGUCAGGACAUAGUUAACAGUCCUCGAGGUAAUUCUCCAGUAUAACACUACACUUAUUCCAAUGGUCAUCUCAGGAUUCUGUAAAGCACCAGUAGUGUAUUUUCAUAAAACGGUGUCGCCCAAGGAUAUUGGUAAGUUGGUACACUUAUGUUCCGAUGGCCUUUGUAUCAACAGUUCAGCUAAUCAUCAUUUGUUGCUGUUGUUCUUGCUGUACCUCCUUAUUUUCUCACUCUUUUCUAAAGGCAAAUUCUUCUAGGCCUGUUCUGUUCUAUCCUAAGUACGCUAAAAGUCUGAAAUGACUUCAAUGAACCACCACAGUGUAUGAACAUUAUAUACCAGAUGUAUUCUCAUAUAGGUUGUAUGCAUAGCAUUUAUAAGGAAAAGUCUUGCAGGCCCUGCUUGGCCCCCUUAAUGGAGUGAACAGUUUCUAAGUGCCCAUGAGGCCCUUCUAGAAACUGUUCAAGUUUAUGUGUAACAUCUGUCGAGAAGGUUCUUAUCACUAUUCUGUUUUAUUUUGUAUUCCUGUAACAAUGUGUUCUGAUCUUGAAGCACACACACACAAUGGUACUCCCUAUUUCCUGGUGAUUGGGUGUUAGUCAAAGAAUUUCUACCAAAACACUCCCUGGAACCAACUUUUAAAAUAGAGUAGCACUUGGCAUGAUACUGGCUGAAAAGGGAGGUGUCUGUAAAAUGCUUGCCAACACAAGCACCUGUUGCACAUGUAUCCCCGAUAAUACUGGUCCAAACAGCUAAAUUAUUGAUCUGUUCAUUAAGUUAAAGACAAAUUCUGGAAUCACACCUCCUUGGGAUGAAUAUUUUGGAUGGAUGACAGGUCGGUAAACGGUCUUAGCCCAGAUCAGUGUUACCUUAUUGAUUGUUUUGAUUUUUAUUUCACUUAUUAUUUUCUGCUGUAUAAUUCCCUAUAUCAGGAAAUUAACUUCAUCUUUAAUUACUUCUUCUGAGGGCUUGCAAUUUAAGCUUAUUCAUGCUGCUCGCGUAUAGUCACUUAUGUGACUAAAAGGGGGAUUGAAAGGGAUUGCAAGGGGCUAAUGUCUUUUCCUGCCUGAACACUUGAUUGCACAAGUAUGCUUCUUAUCAAAUACACACAAGUUGUAGACUGUGUAAACAUACUAUAGCCACUCAGGUGUUCAAACAUUACCAAAUAUAGGGUAAUCACAUUGUGUAUGACAUCACAAUGGAAUCUCUUUGUUUACCAUGCUAUAUAAGUUGUAGUACUACCCAUAAUAAAUCGGAACUUGCUUUGUAA